rnacentral:misc_RNA from 1 species
UAACCCUCAAGCCUAGCUUGGUAUUGGAGUCGCUAUACAGCGGCCCCUAAAAUCAGUGGCGGUGCCUGUAGGUUCUACGCGUAGUAAUUUUUCUCGCUAUGGAUCCCUAUAAGUGCUUGCCAACAACCCCAAUUUUUUCA